AUUGAACGCUGGCGGCAGGCUUAACACAUGCAAGUCGAGCGGGGGAAGGUAGCUUGCUACCGGACCUAGCGGCGGACGGGUGAGUAAUGCUUAGGAAUCUGCCUAUUAGUGGGGGACAACAUCUCGAAAGGGAUGCUAAUACCGCAUACGUCCUACGGGAGAAAGCAGGGGAUCUUCGGACCUUGCGCUAAUAGAUGAGCCUAAGUCGGAUUAGCUAGUUGGUGGGGUAAAGGCCUACCAAGGCGACGAUCUGUAGCGGGUCUGAGAGGAUGAUCCGCCACACUAGGACUGAGACACGGCCCAGACUCCUACGGGAGGCAGCAGUGGGGAAUAUUGGACAAUGGGGGGAACCCUGAUCCAGCCAUGCCGCAUGUGUGAAGAAGGCCUUAUGGUUGUAAAGCACUUUAAGCGAGGAGGAGGCUCUUUUGGUUAAUACCCAAGAUGAGUGGACGUUACUCGCAGAAUAAGCACCGGCUAACUCUGUGCCAGCAGCCGCAGUAA
rnacentral:rRNA from 1 species